rnacentral:rRNA from 1 species
GAUGAACGCUGGCGGCGUGCUUAACACAUGCAAGUCGAACGGGGUACCCAUGACAGAGGCUUCGGCCAAUUGAUUGGAAUACCUAGUGGCGGACGGGUGAGUAACGCGUGAGCAAUCUGCCUUGGAGUGGGGAAUAACAGUUGGAAACAGCUGCUAAUACCGCAUAAUACAGUUGUGUCGCAUGGCACUGACUGUCAAAGAUUUAUCGCUCUGAGAUGAGCUCGCGUCUGAUUAGCUAGUUGGUGAGGUAACGGCUCACCAAGGCGACGAUCAGUAGCCGGACUGAGAGGUUGGCCGGCCACAUUGGGACUGAGACACGGCCCAGACUCCUACGGGAGGCAGCAGUGGGGAAUAUUGGGCAAUGGGCGCAAGCCUGACCCAGCAACGCCGCGUGAAGGAAGAAGGCUUUCGGGUUGUAAACUUCUUUUCUGAGGGACGAUAGUGACGGUACCUCAGGAAUAAGCCACGGCUAACUACGUGCCAGCAGCCGCGGUAAUACGUAGGUGGCAAGCGUUAUCCGGAUUUACUGGGUGUAAAGGGCGUGUAGGCGGGAUGGUAAGUCAGAUGUGAAAACUAUGGGCUCAACCCAUAGCCUGCAUUUGAAACUAUCGUUCUUGAGUGUUGGAGAGGCAGGCGGAAUUCCGUGUGUAGCGGUGAAAUGCGUAGAUAUACGGAGGAACACCAGUGGCGAAGGCGGCCUGCUGGACAAUAACUGACGCUGAGGCGCGAAAGCGUGGGGAGCAAACAGGAUUAGAUACCCUGGUAGUCCACGCUGUAAACGAUGGAUACUAGGUGUGGGGGGUCUGACCCCCUCCGUGCCGCAGUUAACACAAUAAGUAUCCCACCUGGGGAGUACGAUCGCAAGGUUGAAACUCAAAGGAAUUGACGGGGGCCCGCACAAGCGGUGGAGUAUGUGGUUUAAUUCGAAGCAACGCGAAGAACCUUACCAGGGCUUGACAUGGGGAUGACCGGACUAGAGAUAGUUUUUUCCCUUCGGGGACAUCCCACACAGGUGGUGCAUGGUUGUCGUCAGCUCGUGUCGUGAGAUGUUGGGUUAAGUCCCGCAACGAGCGCAACCCUUAUUGUUAGUUGCUACGCAAGAGCACUCUAGCGAGACUGCCGUUGACAAAACGGAGGAAGGUGGGGACGACGUCAAAUCAUCAUGCCCCUUAUGUCCUGGGCCACACACGUACUACAAUGGUGGUCAACAGAGGGAAGCAAUACCGCGAGGUGGAGCAAAUCCCUAAAAGCCAUCCCAGUUCGGAUCGCAGGCUGAAACCCGCCUGCGUGAAGUUGGAAUCGCUAGUAAUCGCGGAUCAGCAUGCCGCGGUGAAUACGUUCCCGGGCCUUGUACACACCGCCCGUCACACCAUGAGAGUCGGGAACACCCGAAGUCCGUAGUCUAACCGCAAGGGGGACGCGGCCGAAGGUGGGUUCGAUAAUUGGGGUGAAGUCGUAACAAGGUAGCCGUAUCGGAAGGUGCGGCUGGAUCACCUCCUUUCUAAGGAGAAACGAAGCGUGAGCGUAGACACAUAGCCUUGGAUGGACCGAAGCGAGGGCGAAAGCCCCGGUGGAGGUCGUUCUCCGCCGGGUUUUGCCCGAGACGGAGGGAAGCCAAGGCGUGAUGUGUCCAACUCGAACAUGACAGCCCCAGAGGCAGUCACGAGCGCCGAGGCGCUGCUUCAAAAUCCUAGGUCAGGCUCUUGGGGCGAAGCGGAAGUAUUUCACGUUGUUUAAUUUAGAGGGUAUACGCUCAGGGCAAGUAGGGGGGUAUAGCUCAGCUGGUAGAGCACCUGCUUUGCAAGCAGGGGGUCAUCGGUUCGAGUCCGUUUACCUCCACCAACGGGCCAAUAGCUCAGCUGGCUAGAGCACACGACUGAUAAUCGUGAGGUCGGUGGUUCGAGUCCACUUUGGCCCACCAGUGAGAACAGAUACAAGUUCUCAAGAAAUUGAGGACUUGUAUCUGGUUUCAACUAGAGACCAGAGGGUUGCACCUUGAAAACUGAACAACGAAGAAAAACAUUCCAGAAAUGUGAGAGCAAGCAACAGAAGAACGAAGCGUGAGCGUAGGCGUGCCGCCGGACUUGGAGCAGAGCGAGACCAAAAAACAGGCUGGGCGAAGCUCAGCGGCAUUUUGGCGAGCGACAGCGAAAGGACGGCGAGAAGCGCACCCAACGCGAACGUGACAGCACGUUGUGGAAACUUUAAGAGGGUAAAAGCAACAAACGCUGAAGAUUCUUCCGUAAGAUUGUGUCUGCAUAAUUCUUGAGAACCAGAAACGUGAGCGUAGACGCACAGCGACCGAUGGACCGGCCCGCACGGCAAAAACAGGCUGGGCGAAGCCCAGCGGCAUUUUGCCAAGGGGCGGGAAGCGGGAGCGGACGAGCGUCCAACGCGAACGUGACAUGGCGCAAGCAGAGCUUGCGCCACGAGGUCAAGCUGGAAAGAGCGCAAGGGGAAUGCCUUGGCAUCAGGAGCCGAAGAAGGACGUGACAAGCUGCGAUAAGCUACGGGGAGCGGCACAUACGCAUCGAUCCGUAGAUUUCCGAAUGGGGAAACCCGGCAGAGCAAUACUCUGUCAACCUGCGUUGAAUCAAAUAGGCGUAGGUGGGGAACCGCCUGAACUGAAACAUCUAAGUAGGGCGAGGAAGAGAAAUCAACAGAGAUUCCGCAAGUAGUGGCGAGCGAACGCGGAAGAGGGCAAACCGGCGGAUUUAUUCGCCGGGGUUGUGGACUGACACAACGGUCAAGCCAUCUAGGAGAACGGCAUGGGAAGGCCGAUCAUAGAAGGUGAGAGUCCUGUAUCCGAAAGGUGGACUUGGCCAGUCAGGAUCCAGAGUACCGCGGGACACGUGAAACCCCGUGGGAAGCUGGGGGGACCACCCUCCAACCCUAAAUACUACCUGAUGACCGAUAGAGGAGC